rnacentral:lncRNA from 1 species
ACAUGUAUAAUGUCGGACACCAAAUUUAUGUAGAAAAAACCUUCCCCUCAAUAUGAGUGAGAGUAAAAAAACCACGGCCAAAAUCUUCACUAUCAUCAAAAUAAUAAGAUACAAAAAAUUUUUUUUAAAAUCUGAAACCCUAUAGAUGUAAAACAACUCUCUAUCAAAGUCAAAUAUCGAAAUCACUUGAUAAAAUCACCA